UCUCCAUCUGAAUCUGAUUCAACAUUGGGUGUGGGAACCUCUAGUGGUUGCCUGAAAAAAUCUUCCGCCAGAAGUUCUGUUGACUGCAAAAGGCCUAACCCUUGGCAGCCAAGUGAUGGUUUAUAAGCCGGAUGGAUAUGUUCUCUACAAAUUAUGGCCUGCAAAGAGUUUGAACAUUCCUUUCUUUUGUGCUGCAGAAGCAAACAUGCUGUACCUGGAAUCGCCAGCAGGGAUUGGUUUCUCUUAUUCUGCCAAGCAAUCUUUCUAUGCCCUAGUGAAUGACACUAUCACAGCACAAGACAGUUUCAUAUUCUUGCAGAAAUGGUUUGUCAAAUUCCCUUAAUACAAGGAUAGACAUUUCUACAUCACUGGAGAGAGCUAUGCAGACACCUUGAGUUCUGUAAAGAUUGAAAACAUGCAAUUUUUCAGGAAGAAACAACUAUGAAUUUGUAUCUGUUGGUUAAAGUGAGUGAUCAUCAAGCUCCCUAACUUUAAUCCUAUAAUAACAGGACUAAAAUUCAAUCUGAAGGCCAUCGCUGUAGGAAAUGCUUUAUUGGAGUUCAAUACGGAUUUUAACUCAGAGGACAACUACUAUUGGGCUCAUGGGUUGAUAUCAGAUGCUACUUAUGAUCUCCUCAAUUCAGCAUAAGAGGCUCUAAACUUGCUGCUUGUGUGGGUGUGAAUAAGAAACUUUCAGUAGAAAUUCCUAAUGCAGUUGAUAAUUACAAUGUCAUCGGCGACUUUUUCAUAUCAUCUAGUGAAUCACAGCUGGAUAUUCCCAGUUACCCUUUUAGACCAAGGUUUCAAGUUUCAUCAUCCACAAAAUCAGUACAAGAGAAAGAUGCUGAGAAUAUAGAUGUUUGUGUGCAACGAAAGCCAUCUGAAUAUUUGAACAGGAAACAUAUGCAAGAAGCUAUUCAUGCUAAGCUUGUAGGAGUCACCAGAUGAUCAGGUUGCAGCAGGGUGUUUCAAUAAGUCAUUUACUUCUUGAAGCGUGGUGAAUUAUGAAAUGCUGAACUUAGAGAUACCUACAAUUAAUAUUGUAGGCUCACUGGUCAGUUCAGGCAUCCGGGUCCUAGUCUACAGUGGAGAUCAAGAUCCAGCUGUUCCCUUUACUGGGAGUAGAACUUUGGUUGAUGGGUUGGCAAAAAGAGCUAGGAUUGAAUGCAACUGUGCCUUACUGGUUUGAGGAUAAGCAGGUUGGUGGAUGGACACAAGUUUAUGGUGACAUCCUUACAUUUGCAACCAUCAUAUUUAGCACCAUUGACUUCUCCCAAGAGAUCCUUAGCCUUAUUUGCAGCGUUUCUGUGCAGAAAAGAUUAAUGCAAUUUAUGAACUGUCAAAGCAAGAUUAUUUAGACAAAUCAUCUCUAGUGAUUCCAGGUUUAAUAAAGCCAGCAAUGAAAUUUUCAUGAACGCGACAAAAGAAGGCCAGCCAGACCUGUUGCAACUAACAAGUUAUUGGUUCAGUUUUUCUUCUCAGGUUGGUGGAUGGACACAAGUUUAUGAUGACAUCCUAACAUUUGCAACUAUCAGAGGAGCUGGACACUUGACACCAUUGACAUCUCCCAAGAGAUCCCUGGCCUUAUCUGCAGCAUUUCUAGCUGGGAAUCCGCUGCCAGAGAAGUUAUAGAAUUAUACAUUGAUAAUUUGUUUGUAGAACUAAAUUGCAUCUAUGGAUUCAUGCUUUGAUCAGCAAUGCCACGUUCAAUGCCUGGUGGGAGGAAUAAAGAGUGUCUACAGUGCCUUUGCAUUGAGCUUUCCUGGAACAGUCACAGACUUUUAUGUUAUCCCCACGUCACAUUCUUUAGCGCAAAUCUUCUUCCUUCUUUGGAACUUAUAUGGAGGCAAGAUCAGUUGAACAAAAAAUUAUAAACAAAAAUCU